AUUGAACGCUGGCGGCAGGCCUAACACAUGCAAGUCGAGCGCGCGGCGGACGGGUGAGUAAUGUAUGGGGACUGCCCGAUAGAGGGGGAUAACUACUGGAAACGGUAGCUAAUACCGCAUACUAUCGGAUAACCCAUAUGGGAUUAGCUGGUUGGGGGGGUAAAGGCUCACCAAGGCAACGAUCCGUAGCUGGUUUGAGAGGACGACCAGCCACACUGGUACUGAGACUCGGUCCAGACUCCGACGGAGGCAGCAGUGGGGAAUUUUUGACAAUGGGGGAAACCCUGAUCCAGCCAUCCCGCGUGUAUGAUGAAGGCCUUCGGGUUGUAAAGUACUUUUGGCAGAGAAGCGGUAUCUGCAGAAUAAGCACCGGCUAACUACGUGCCAGCAGCCGCGGUAAUCC
rnacentral:rRNA from 1 species